rnacentral:rRNA from 1 species
UACGUAGGUCCCGAGCGUUGUCCGGAUUUAUUGGGCGUAAAGCGAGCGCAGGUGGUUUAUUAAGUCUGGUGUAAAAGGCAGUGGCUCAACCAUUGUAUGCAUUGGAAACUGGUAGACUUGAGUGCAGGAGAGGAGAGUGGAAUUCCAUGUGUAGCGGUGAAAUGCGUAGAUAUUAGGAGGAACACCAGUGGCGAAGGCGGCUUACUGGACUGUAACUGACGUUGAGGCUCGAAAGCGUGGGGAGCAAACAGG